GACGAACGCUGGCGGCGUGCUUAACACAUGCAAGUCGAACGAAGAGCGAUGGAAGCUUGCUUCUAUCAAUCUUAGUGGCGAACGGGUGAGUAACGCGUAAUCAACCUGCCCUUCAGAGGGGGACAACAGUUGGAAACGACUGCUAAUACCGCAUACGAUCUAAUCUCGGCAUCGAGGAUGGAUGAAAGGUGGCCUCUACAUGUAAGCUAUCACUGAAGGAGGGGAUUGCGUCUGAUUAGCUAGUUGGAGGGGUAACGGCCCACCAAGGCGAUGAUCAGUAGCCGGUCUGAGAGGAUGAACGGCCACAUUGGGACUGAGACACGGCCCAGACUCCUACGGGAGGCAGCAGUGGGGAAUCUUCCGCAAUGGACGAAAGUCUGACGGAGCAACGCCGCGUGAGUGACGACGGCCUUCGGGUUGUAAAGCUCUGUUAAUCGGGACGAAAGGCCUUCUUGCGAAUAGUGAGAAGGAUUGACGGUACCGGAAUAGAAAGCCACGGCUAACUACGUG
rnacentral:rRNA from 1 species